rnacentral:rRNA from 1 species
CCUACGGGAGACAGCAGUGAGGAAUAUUGGUCAAUGGGCGGAAGCCUGAACCAGCCAAGUCGCGUGAGGGAAUAAGGCCCUACGGGUCGUAAACCUCUUUUGCCGGGGAGCAAGGGCUGGGACGUGUCCCGGCCCGGAGAGUACCCGGAGACAAAGCAUCGGCUACCUCCUUGCCAGCGGCCCCGGUAAUACGGAGGAUUCCAGCGUUAUCCGGAUUUAUUGGGUUUAAAGGGUGCGUAGGCGGGCUUUUAAGUACGCGGUAAAAAUUCGGGGCUCAACCCGGUCCGGCCGUUGAAACUGGGGGCCUUGAGUGGGCGAGAGGAAGGCGGAAUGCGUGGUGUAGCGGUGAAAUGCAUAGAUAUCACGCAGAACCCCGAUUGCGAAGGCAGCCUGCCGGAGCCCUACUGACGCUGAGGCACGAAAGUGCGGGGAUCGAACAGGAUUAGAUACCCCUGUAGUC